rnacentral:lncRNA from 1 species
UGGUGCAUGCUUUUGGUUCAUAUAAAAAAAGAAGAUGUGGCAUGAUUGCCAAUGAUACAACUAUCCACAAAAGACCAAAAUGACACAAACAUUAACAACUAUAGGUCACCGUACGGCCUUCAACAAUGAGCAAAGCCCAUACCGCAUAGUCAGCUUUAAAAGGCCCCGAUAAGACAAUGUAAAACAAUUCAAACGAGAAAACUAACGGCCUUAUUUAUGUAAAAUAAUGAACGAAAAACAAAUAUGCAACACAUAAACAAACGACAACCACUGAAUUACAGGCUCCUGACUUGGGACAGGCACAUACAUAAAUAAUGUGGGGGUGUUAAACAUGUUAGCGGGAUCCCAACCCUCCCCCUAACCUUGGAGAGUGGUAUAACAGUACAACAUAAGAACGAACUAUAAAAAUCAUUUGAAAAAGGCUUAACUCGUCAGAUAGACAAAAAAUACAAGUGGACGUGGCCGGGUUUUAAAUGUUUUAAAACAUCUGUAAUUUUCUUCUCUUUGUUCUUUCAAAAAGAGAUUCCCAG